GACGAACGCUGGCGGCGUGCCUAAUACAUGCAAGUCGAGCGCAGGAAACUGACAGAACUCUUCGGAGGGAAGGCAGCGGAAUGAGCGGCGGACGGGUGAGUAACACGUAAGGAACCUGCCUCAAGGAUUGGGAUAACUCCGAGAAAUCGGAGCUAAUACCGGAUAGUUCAUCGGACCGCAUGGUCCGUUGAUGAAAGGCGCUCCGGCGUCACCUUGAGAUGGCCUUGCGGUGCAUUAGCUAGUUGGUGGGGUAACGGCCCACCAAGGCGACGGUGCAUAGCCGACCUGAGAGGGUGAUCGGCCACACUGGGACUGAGACACGGCCCAGACUCCUACGGGAGGCAGCAGUAGGGAAUCUUCCACAAUGGACGAAAGUCUGAUGGAGCAACGCCGCGUGAGCGAUGAAGGUUUUCGGAUCGUAAAACUCUGUUGUAAGGGAAGAACACGUACGAGAGGAAAUGCUCGUACCUUGACGGUACCUUACGAGAAAGCCACGGCUAACUACGUGCCAGCCGCCGCAGUAAUAC
rnacentral:rRNA from 1 species